UACGAAGGGGGCUAGCGUUGCUCGGAUUGACUGGGCGUAAAGGGCGCGUAGGCGGUUCGUACAGUCAGACGUGAAAUUCCUGGGCUCAACCUGGGGGCUGCGUUUGAUACGUGCGGACUUGAGUGCGGAAGAGGGUCGUGGAAUUCCCAGUGUAGAGGUGAGAUUCGUAGAUAUUGGGAAGAACACCGGUGGCGAAGGCGGCGACCUGGUCCGAUACUGACGCUGAGGCGCGAAAGCGUGGGGAGCAAACAGG
rnacentral:rRNA from 1 species